rnacentral:piRNA from 1 species
UCUAUCCUCACCUCACCCCACAACCACAGU